CGGGUUCGAUUCCAGCCCGGGCCCUUUGCUGCUCUCUCCCCUGCCUUUCCUGUCUCUCUCCAGCUAUCACUAUCAUAAUAAAGCAGAAAUGCCAAAAACAAAACAAAAAUUAAACAAUUAUUUGAAUCAGGGCUUCUGCACUGCAUUGUCUUUUAUUGUGGUCAAUAGGGUUGGGUACCGAACUCGGUACUUUUAAGGGUGCCGACUGAAUUACGUUGGUACUACCAAAUACUGAUUCACGUUAAAACAGUCUGCGCCAAAUUUUGGUACCUGAGAGUGCAUCUGGGUGAGAGAGCAAACUACAUCACCCCUGCUGCUUGUAUAAGUCACAGGGACUGGGUAUACAUGGUAUAUACACGGCAUCUGUGGCUGUGAGAAUUCACACAACAAAAACCCAAUCUACUUUGCACAAAACUCCAAAGUUUAAUUUUUGUGAUCAUAUCUGAGAGGCAAACAAAAUGUAAUCGAAUAAUGUUGAAAUCUAAGAACCCUUGAUUAAGGGUAAGUCAAUUUUGAUGCAAAUAUAGAUGCUAUAUGUAAAAAGUUUUAAUGUGGACAUGACACUGAUGAAAAUGUUUGAGUCUACUUUUAUUGAGUCUGUCCUUUCUUUUUCUAUGAUUUGCUGGUUUGGCAGUCUUAGUCUUAAAAAUAGGAACAAACUGGUAAAAACUGGUAAGCUGUGCCAUAAGAUUACUGCUGGUGCUACCCUUAAUGACCUUCAGCACCUGUAUGAAGUGAGGCUAAUCUCAAAGGCACAUUGUUUUGGACCCUCAACAUCCUUUACAUGUUGAGUUCCAGAUGCUUCCAUCAGGGCGGAGGUUUAGUCUCCUCAAAGGUAGCACUAAUAGAUACAGAUUGUCCUUUGUUCCAUCUGCUAUUAGUUUUUUAAACAAACUAUAACCCUGGAUGUCAUUGGGUCUCUUUUUCGUCAUGGUGACAGUUUAGGAAAUAUGGAUCUUGUGCUUUGUUGUGUAUGAUGUAUUUGUGUUGGACUACUGUCUGUCAAGCAAAUUACAAGUUUUACUCUACUACCUAAGUGGCUGAAUAAAAUCCUGCAAAGUGUAGAAAGCGCCUCCACCUCUACAGACAGGUACACUUUCUGUCUACUUUGCAAAUCCAGUUUCAUAUACUGCAGAUGUUCAUCUGGAGCAAUAACAGAGAAUGGCCAAAUCCUCCCUUCUCACAACAUCUGCACUGUCUGCCAGCAGCACUGAACCACAUGCCAACGCAGAGGUAACGCGAGCAUCAGUGAGAUUCAGUGCUGGUUUAUCCAGUCCAGCUGGCUCCGGACAGCAACACGAGGAAGACGCGGACAUCAAACAAGCCUUUGUUUAAAGAAGCAGGUAUCAGUCACCCAGCUCAGUUACAUGAAAACCCCAACACGGAAAGCCCCGUCACCGUCUAUAUGAUCUACCUGGCUUGAUCACAUGAGGACUAGCUGCGCUGUUCUAACUGUGUUCACGAAGCCAGCAGCUCUCAGGUCCCGGUCACAGCCAUAGUAUGUGAAGACUGAUUGCUAGUGCUCCACACACAAAGAGUGGUCCUUUUAAAUGUAUAUCCAAGGUUAGAUAUGUAACUCAUUUAAACUAGGGCUGAACAAUUAAUUGAAAUAUUAUCUAAAUCACAAUAUGGCCAAGUGCAAUAUCCAAAUUGCAGAAGCAGCAUUUUUUUGAUAAAGGUAAAAUGUUUGACAAAACAGCAUCAUAAUGAAGUACUGCAGAGUGGCCUGGCCUAUAAAUCUUGUUCUCCAGAUCGGAUAAGAAAACAUGUGACAAAUGUCACAUCAUCAUGAUUUUAAUAGUUUUUUCAGUUAAAAUGUAAAUUGUGAUGCAAAAAUGAUCAUUCCCACUAAUCGUGAAUCAUAUCGCAAUGGUACUAUCUGUCAAAACAAUCGCAAUGUGAUUUUUUUCACAUCAUAUCAUGCAGCCCUAUUUUCAACCCUUGAACGAUGUAAAGCACAAUGGAAAAUGGCAUUCAAAUAAUCAAGAGAAAAAAUGUCAAAAAAAGGAGAUAAGUGUUAUGUAAUGUAGUGGUGAUCUCAGUUGUGGUCCACUCAUAAAGGAGAUAACAGUACGAUAAUGUGUUGUUAUGCAACUGAACUCGAACAUGCACAGACCGACACUUAGUUGGGUGGUUUAUUAGGAACACCUACUUCAAACUACUGCAGUCUAAUUCGAUAGACUAAUUAGAUAGGUGUUUCUAAUAUUUAGUCUACCCUCAUUGAUUUAAAUGGAGUGGAUAAAAUCUUUUAAAACACUUUAAACAAAAACCGAACAUCAUAACCUUCAUGGAGCUGUGAGCUGUCCUGCCAUUUCCUUUGUGGACUACAUUGUGGGGCAACAGUGAUCAUAAGAAUACAGACAUUUUUGAGUAUUCUAUAUUUUCUCCCCUUUCCAGUUUCAUCACACAAUAAACUCAAAACCUGAUCAGAAGUUUACAGUAUGAAACUGGUACACAGCUCAUGUCUGAAUGAAAACUACAAGCACACCAAUCAUACUUAAUCAAAAUGAAUAAAAAAUAAAAAAUAU